UGCAAGUCGAGCGCCCCGCAAGGGGAGCGGCAGACGGGUGAGUAACGCGUGGGAACGUACCUUUUGCUACGGAAUAACUCAGGGAAACUUGUGCUAAUACCGUAUGUGCCCUUCGGGGGAAAGAUUUAUCGGCAAAGGAUCGGCCCGCGUUGGAUUAGCUAGUUGGUGAGGUAAAGGCUCACCAAGGCGACGAUCCAUAGCUGGUCUGAGAGGAUGAUCAGCCACACUGGGACUGAGACACGGCCCAGACUCCUACGGGAGGCAGCAGUGGGGAAUAUUGGACAAUGGGCGCAAGCCUGAUCCAGCCAUGCCGCGUGAGUGAUGAAGGCCCUAGGGUUGUGAAGCUCUUUCACCGGUGAAGAUAAUGACGGUAACCGGAGAAGAAGCCCCGGCUAACUUCGUGCCAGCAGCCGCGGUAAUACGAAGGGGGCUAGCGUUGUUCGGAUUUACUGGGCGUAAAGCGCACGUAGGCGGACUUUUAAGUCAGGGGUGAAAUCCCGGGGCUCAACCCCGGAACUGCCUUUGAUACUGGAAGUCUUGAGUAUGGUAGAGGUGAGUGGAAUUCCGAGUGUAGAGGUGAAAUUCGUAGAUAUUCGGAGGAACACCAGUGGCGAAGGCGGCUCACUGGACCAUUACUGACGCUGAGGUGCGAAAGCGU
rnacentral:rRNA from 1 species